GGGGGUGAUCUGGCUGUGACACCUGUCACCCCGUUGAUGGCCAGGGUUGAUUCGGUUGAUCUGGCUGGCUAGGUGAGAUUCCCCCCUUACUGCUCCACGUGUAUCCUUCCUGAAUCUGUGUGCUCAGUUGAAAAGGAUGGCCAUCCUGGAUAGAGGAGGACCUGUCUUUGGUCAAGGGUAUACAAGCAUCUGUGUCCCCUUGCUAGAACCUCCAAACAAGCUCUCAAGGUCCAAACAUUGAGUAGAUUAUUAGCAAUGGAUUAGAAAAGGGAGCUGGGAAAGCUGGAAGGAAGCAGACACAAUGAGCUGAUGAACUGAGGUGUGGGCAUUUUACU
ensembl:misc_RNA 7SK 7SK RNA